rnacentral:tRNA from 1 species
UGGAGGUUAGUGAAUGAUACACGAGUAAAUUUGAACUACUAAAAGGAACAGACAAAAUUCCACCACCAC